AGCGAACGCUGGCGGCAGGCCUAACACAUGCAAGUCGAACGAAGCCUUCGGGCUUAGUGGCGGACGGGUGAGUAACACGUGGGAACGUACCUUUUGGUUCGGAACAACUCAGGGAAACUUGAGCUAAUACCGGAUGAGCCCUUAGGGGGAAAGAUUUAUCGCCGAAAGAGCGGCCCGCGUUAGAUUAGCUAGUUGGUGAGGUAAAGGCUCACCAAGGCAACGAUCUAUAGCUGGUCUGAGAGGAUGAUCAGCCACACUGGGACUGAGACACGGCCCAGACUCCUACGGGAGGCAGCAGUGGGGAAUCUUGCGCAAUGGGCGAAAGCCUGACGCAGCCAUGCCGCCUGAAUGAUGAAGGUCUUAGGAUUGUAAAAUUCUUUUACCAGGGACGAUAAUGACGGUACCUGGAGAAAAAGCCCCGGCUAACUUCGUGCCAGCCGCCGCCGUAAUAC
rnacentral:rRNA from 1 species